GAUGAACGCUGGCGGCGUGCCUAAUACAUGCAAGUCGAGCGAACAGACGAGGUGCUUGCUCCUCUGACGUUAGCGGCGGACGGGUGCGUAACACGUGGAUAACCUACCUAUAAGACUGGGAUAACUUCGGGAAACCGGAUCUAAUACCGGAUAAUAUAUUGAACCUCAUUGUUCAAUAGUUGAAGACGGUUUUUCUUUCACUUAUAGAUUGAUCCGCGCCGCAUUAGCUAGUUGGUAAGGUAACGGCUUACCAAGGCAACGAUGCGUAGCCGACCUGAGAGGGUGAUCGGCCACACUGGAACUGAGACACGGCACAGACUCCUACGGGGGGCAGCAGUAGGGAAUCCUCCGCGAUGGGCGAGAGCUUGACAGAGCAACGCCGCGUGAGUGAUGAAGGUCUUCGGAUCGUAAAGCUCUGUUAGUAGGGAAGAACAAAUGUGUAAGUAACUAUGCACGUCUUGACGGUACCUAAUCAAAAAGCCACGGCUAACUACGUG
rnacentral:rRNA from 1 species